GCGACGGUGGGCGAGUGGGCGGCCCGGGUCUCCGCGCGGUUCGGCGACGCGAUCCGCUGGAUCGUGCCCGGUCCGGGGCA
rnacentral:tRNA from 1 species